rnacentral:lncRNA from 1 species
UUCGAAAAGUAAUGAUGCGGAUCGAAGCUGAUCAAAACACAAAUAAAUAUUAAUUGCAGCAAUUUCCGUAACCGCUAUAAAGGGAGGUAAAGAUGGGUAAUGUGAAAAUAAAUAGAAAUAAAUAAAUAUCUGUAUCGCCGGACUAGAUUUAGACGGCGGCGAUGGGAUAGAAGUGGGUAAAAACACGUGGCUAAGGGAGCGUGAGUGCUGGGCCGGACUAGAUUUAGACGGCGGCGAUGGGAUAGAAGUGGGUAAAAACACGUGGCUAAGGGAGCGUGAGUGCUGGGAGAGUAAGAAAAUUUGCCAGCGGUGGUUGGCGUAAAACGCCAGAGGUUGAUGGCGGGUCUUUUGUGAAGGGAUAUUUGUAAUUUCGUCCGCAAUCUUUGCAAAACCUAAUAAAUCAGAGGUAAAGAUGGGUAAUGUGAAAAUAAAUAGAAAUAAAUAAAUAUCUGUAUCGCCGGACUAGAUUUAGACGGCGGCGAUGGGAUAGAAGUGGGUAAAAACACGUGGCUAAGGGAGCGUGAGUGCUGGGAGAGUAAGAAAAUUUGCCAGCGGUGGUUGGUGUAAAACGCCAGAGGUUGAUGGCGGGUCUUUUGUGAAGGGAUAUUUGUAAUUUCGUCCGCAAUCUUUGCAAAACCUAAUAAAUCUACCUUAAAUCUUUUUAUUCGUCAUUAAGUGUUGGAUUUGUCAUUUUAUUUAAAUAAACAAAAAAUAAAAAAGAAAAAAU